AUCUUAUAUGCCUCCGCAAGAGAGUCCAAUUCCAAUUAAGGAGUUGCUUGGCUCUUGAUCUUAUCUUAGGCAUAGGUCUGACUUAAUUCUGCCUCAAACAAUACUGGAAUUUCCUUGUCUGAUCCGGCGCCAACACCAUACUUGAUAACUGGCAAUUCUGAUGUUGAUGAUCCAGCUUGUUCACUACCUGACCUCAAAGACUC
rnacentral:lncRNA from 1 species